UACGGAGGGUGCAAGCGUUGCUCGGAAUUAUUGGGCGUAAAGGGUAGGUAGGUGGUCUCAUUUGUCUGGGGUGAAAGCCUUGAGCUUAACUCAAGAAGUGCCCCAGAAAACGGUGAGACUGGAGUCCUGGAGAGGGUCGUGGAAUUCCCGGUGUAGCGGUGAAAUGCGCAGAUAUCAGGAGGAACACCGAUGGCGAAGGCAGGUCUCUGGGCAUUAACUGACGCUGAGGAGCGAAAGCAUGGGGAGCGAACAGG
rnacentral:rRNA from 1 species